CCCGCCGGGCUACAAUAAAUCUAUAAGAGCGGUAGCCCGGUUUAUUGACAGACAUACGUAGAAUAAACACGCUGACCAUGUGUUUGUACACUGUGUAUUGCUUUUAAUCCGAUAACAAAGUGCAAUCAAUUAUCUAAUCAGUCACCGAUCACUUGCGGUAAUGUCUUAAACAGUAACAGUGUAUUUUAAUCAUCCAAUCAGAACCAACAUUUGUCGUCUGCUAAUAAUAUAAUGAGAGCCGGUUGGAUAGUUGGCGCACAUGAUGCAACAUCAUUUCGCAGUUUGGAAUUCUUUGUUAACCGCAACAAUGAGUAAUAGCGACAACGUUUUUGAUGUCGUUAAAAUUAAAUAUCCAAGGACGCCAAACAUUAAAUAAAUUAAAACAAUAGCGGAUUCUUCAAAACGGUAACGAAACCGAAAAUGAAUAUUAAUGACAACUUUGUGAACGCGGUUAACACCUGCUAAUUAGUUUGCAUUGUCAAUUAAUAAUUGGAUUAAUCGACUGUUAAUCAAUAAUCCCAUAUAUGCCCGUUUUUUUUUUUUAAACCAAAUUAUGGGUGGGUAAUAUAGACGAUAAGUGUCAUAAACACAAACGUUUGAAAUUUUCUAAAGUGUCAAAUGAAUUUCGGCACAUGGUUCUAUUUAAAGAUAUGAUGAAAUAAGCUCCCAAUCAGGACCGUUGUAUUGCAACAUGCGUAAAUAAUCUGCCACGGUGUGCACCACAGCUAUUUUAGGUUACAAAAUUCUACAUUUAAGAAAUGAAUUUCUUUGUCCUGAUAAAAAGCGCGCGAAAAUUGACGUGGGUGUAUUCAUUUGUAAAUAAAAAUUUCGUAGCGGGUACAACAUUGAGAUCAUUUAAUUUACAUUAAAAGUUUCGUUGUGAAUUUCAAUGUAAGUACCGGGGUAUCUCGCGAAGUAUUUGGCAUUGACAUUUUCUCUUAAUAAAAUAUCAUGUAAACACGCUGUAUCGUUACCGUUACGCUGUAUCAGUUCAUUGAAACAAUUAUUGUAUUGUAUACUGACUGCAUUCAAGUGUCGUAACAUACGGAUGCAAUACAUGUACGUAAAUUCGGACAGUACUUUAA